ensembl:lncRNA
AUGCACUGCCUUCUGCUUUUGCCUGACUUUAGACAGUUCCAUCUGGUGAAACGAUUUCCUUAUCGUUCUUCCUUCCCCCCUCUGUAUUUCAUAGGUUAUCAAGCCGCCAGAAACAGCGCUAGAGUGAAGGAAGCUGUUAAAAGAUGCAGCGCCGGGAGUCUUUUAAAGCCUGGUUCUUCUGGUGACUUGGCAGAGCUCAACCACGGAAGUCAGAGCGCUAUGGGCCGAAGACGGCCGAUAAAGGUCCAGACAUGAAGGAGACAGCGUCUCGUCUGUGGCAUCUCACAAUGAGAAGAGCUUUCAGCGUGUCGCGAGGUAAUUACUCUCCUCGAGGGAGGGCGAAAUCUGUUUAUUGUAAUUAUGUCAGAGAAAUGAAGAAGCAUGCUUGUGAGAUGCUCAAACAUUGUCUCAACAUAUUUGGGGGGAAAUUUUCCUGAGUUUCAUGUGUCUACAUAAUACCCCGACAUCACAUUCCCAGCCAGCUAUCGCAAUCACUUGUGUUUAGACCGUCAGAAUAAUGAGGUGCUAAUGCGUGCGCGCGCGUGUGUGCGUGCGUGCGUGCGUGUGUGCGUGUGUGCAUGUGCGUGUGUGCGUGUGUGUGUGUGUGUGUCUACCCUGAAGCCCAUGGCCCCAUACACUUGACGGCAACUGUUCCAUCCACACAAUAGAAAAAUAUCCUGCUUCUCUCCGUAACAACAGCCCUGCUGAAGUGGCGGGAUUAGAACAUGCCAUGGGAAAGAACCUCCCUUAUUCUGGAUCUGUUUUCCAUUUACCCCGCCGGUCGGGGAUCGAGGUUUUAUGUGCUUACACUAUCAAUGUUUGGCCCAUUAAUUCACAUCUACAAUUAUAAUGUCCAAUUAGAGGCCAGGGUUGGCUCGCCUUUGUGUUAUGAAGUCAGAGGGGGUUGGAAAACAGUGUAGUUUUAGACUGAAAGGAGCAUCGGUUUGUACUGCGAUUAUUUUAUGCCCUCAGGCUAAUGGGUUAAUAGCGAGUAGGUGAUAGUAGGGAAGUAGAGAUUGCUAAAAGAAAGGAAGGAGGGAGUCACAACAGGAACACAUGUAUUGAGGGAUUGGAACACAACAUGAAUGUAACGUUUGGUAGAGAAUUCAGAGCUCUAACAAAAAUAACCAUGGUUUUACUACAGUGGUCUAACUACGAUUUUUGUUGUAAAAUCACAAAUAUGGUCAUGGUUUCACUACAGUUAUCAUGGUCUAACUAUGAUUUUUCUAGAAAAACAGUAUUAGCUACAAAACUG